CUACGGGUGGCAGCAGUGAGGAAUAUUGCGCAAUGGGGGAAACCCUGACGCAGCGACGCCGCGUGGAUGAUGAAGGCCUUAGGGUCGUAAAAUCCUGUCAGGUGGGAAGAAGUGGAUAUAGAUUAAUACUCUAUUUCUUUGACGGUACCACCAAAGGAAGCACCGGCUAACUCCGUGCCAGCAGCCGCGGUAAUACGGAGGGUGCAAACGUUGUUCGGAAUUACUGGGCGUAAAGCGCGCGUAGGCGGUUUGUUAAGUCAGAUGUGAAAGUCCAUGGCUCAACUAUGGAAGUGCAUUUGAAACUGGCAGACUUGAGGACUGGAGGGGGUGAUGGAAUUCCCGGUGUAGAGGUGAAAUUCGUAGAUAUCGGGAGGAAUACCGGUGGCGAAGGCGAUCACCUGGCCAGAUACUGACGCUGAGGUGCGAAAGCUAGGGUAGCAAAUCGGAUUAGAUACCCGUGUAGUC
rnacentral:rRNA from 1 species